ACCCUACCACUAGAGCAAAAAAAAUAACAAAAAACUCAAACCUCCUCACUCUCUCGACACAGAUUCAAAUUAAAGGCCAAAACCAAAACCAAAAUCUCCUCUGCGUCUCCCCAAAACCAAAACCUACAACCUUCACCGCCUACACUUCAAAUCCAUCGGAUCCAAGACCUCUGUUCUACGCCGACACCAAAUCCAUCGGAUCCAAAACCUAGAUCUCUCUCCUCUCUCCCUCUUAUCUUCUACACGGCUACACCUAUACCCCAAAUCCAUCUCUCCGACAACCAAACCAAUAGUAAACUAAACUUGUUGCUCAUGGCUUCCGCUUUGGCCACUUCCUUUGCUUCCCAAUUACUCCCUCGCGCCCCACCCAAAGGUCUCCCUUUGCUUUGUCCCACAGUCACACCUGUGUCUGUAGCUGUGAGAGUCCGAGAUAGCAGGCCGUUAUCCGCUGUGGCGGCGGCGAAGAGUAAUUCCAAUCCUCCGCCGACGACGAGGAGCCCUAACAAAAGGAGUAAAGCAGCAGAAGAAGAAGAAGAAGUCGUUGAAGAAGUGGAAGAGGAUCUACCCUGGAUUCAAGAGAAGGCCUUGGACCUGGUGGAUUUCACCGGCUCUGUCAUGCAGGCCAUUCCUGGACCCAGAGUUGGCACCAGCUCCCUCCCUUGGAUUUUGGCUCUUCCUCUCACUUAUGCCGGUCUCAAUUUUUUCAUCGGCGUUGUCAAGACCAUCAAAAAGUUCUCUUCCCCUCGACAUAAACGCAAGAACUGGUCAAUAAAAAUGCUAUGCUAUGCAAAUCAAUAGACAAAAUGUUUCAGAAUGGCUCCGACCAAAUCACGCCUGAUGCCCUGAAACAACUCGUGCAAAAUACAGGUUUUGGUGUGGAGGAGAUUUUGCGCAAGUACAUCUGUUAUACUUUGAAUGAAAAGCCAUUCAACCCAGACAUGGUUUCCAAUUUAAUUCAGCUCAGGAAAGCUUCUUUGUUCGAUGAUUCUCAGGUGGCUAAAAUUCUAAAUGAAAUUUCAAGAAGAAUUGUGCGAGACAAAGGUAAAGCGUUGACCUACUACUAUCAUCACUUGUAUGAUCUAAUUACACAAUACUCCCUUUUCCAUAUAAAAAUAAUCUGAUAAGGACAUGUAGGCGGUGAAUGUAUACCACCUCCUCCUACAUCCGAUUAUGAGUUACAGAAGAAGGAUGCUUGUAAUGUGCUCAUAAAUAUGUCCUGCUUCUACUACUACUUCUUUUCAUGACUUCUCCAUAUAUCAUUCUAUGGUCGUCAUCUGUUAAUGUUUUGGAUUUUUUGUGUUGUUAGCAAGGCAUUACACUUAAUUUGAUACAUGUACUGCCAAGGUACAUUGUACUAUUUGCUCCUUUAGCUUUCUAAUAAACAUAUAUGGAAUUAAAAGUCAGAAAAAUUCAUUGCAAAAUUGUGCUAUCAGUUGCUGACUGCUUGUUUGCAACUUGCAAGGCCAGUUGUAAUGGAUAUGGCAGGUUAUACUGAAUGGGGUUUUAAAAGAAAAUUAGCCGUUCAAGCCCUAUAUGGAAAGGUGUUCUAUCUGUCAGAGGUGCUACUAAUAAGCCUCAAGAACUAGAUGACGUAGUUCUUAGGAGACUGGUGAAGAGAGUAUACAUACCUUUACCAGAUCUAACUGCUAGGAGACUCCUCCUAAGUCACAAACUCAAAGGCCAAGCAUUUUCCUUACCAAGCUAGAAUGAGAUUUUUGGGAACUGUUUUUGCAAAGUGAAAUUAUUUCACCAAUGCUAAGGACAAAUGGGAAACUUAAUUUGGUUCACACAGCACAAAUCUCUUCUUAGCAAAGAAGGGGACAGCCUAUUCCCCAAUUGCUCUUGGACAAGAGUAUUGGUUGCCCAUUCUUACUGGUGCCAACACCAGGCUAAGCAACAUGACAAAAACCAGGCUUGUCCUAAGGAUCACAGACAGUAGCUCAACUUGUAGACAUGGAGCUCCAAUGUACUCGGCAUUAUAUAAUGUAGAAAAGAGCAAAAGUUGAUAGAUACAGAGAAAGAAGGCAAAUGUACAAAUGACCCUCCUAAAUUAGUGUAUGAAUAUUUGGGAAAUAAUUAGGUUUGAUAUCAAUUUACAGAAUUCAUUUAAUAUGUGGUGGAAUUUGAAUUAAUUUGAUUGUUAUAUAUUUUGUAACA